rnacentral:RNase_MRP_RNA from 14 species
CAUUAUGUCGUGGGAAAGUCCUCGGGCACCAGGGCAGCAAGUGCCAGCCAGGAAUGGCAGAACACCCAUCGUGCGGGACACAGACUACCUGCUUCGGCUGGUUGAGAGGCCAAGAUCGUUGCGGCACUCGUUCUUCGGAACGACUGCCGUCGCAGGAGCCGAAUCUGUGGAAUGAGAGUACGGGUCUUUUCGCCGUGACAAAGUAAUGCUAACAGCGCCCGUCGACGGCCCCUCGGGACCAGGUACGGACGUCAACUCAACGAGGCUUACUCUAG